rnacentral:rRNA from 1 species
GACGAACGCUGGCGGCGUGCCUAAUACAUGCAAGUCGAGCGAAUUGAUGGGAGCUUGCUCCCUGAUAUUAGCGGCGGACGGGUGAGUAACACGUGGGUAACCUGCCUGUAAGAUUGGGAUAACUCCGGGAAACCGGAGCUAAUACCGGAUAACAUUUCGAACCGCAUGGUUUGAAAUUGAAAGAUGGUUUCGGCUAUCACUUACAGAUGGACCCGCGGCGCAUUAGCUAGUUGGUGAGGUAACGGCUCACCAAGGCAACGAUGCGUAGCCGACCUGGGAGGGUGAUCGGCCACACUGGGACUGAGACACGGCCCAGACUCCUACGGGGGGCAGCAGUAGGGAAUCUUCCGCAAUGGACGAAAGUCUGACGGAGCAGCGCCGCGUGAACGAUGAAGGCCUUCGGGUCGUAAAGUUCUGUUGUUAGGGAAGAACAAGUACCAGAGUAACUGCUGGUACCUUGACGGUACCUAACCAGAAAGCCACGGCUAACUACGUGCCAGCAGCCGCGGUAA